GCGGAAUUUCUCUCUGUGUUGAAGGCCCAUUGAUGGCCUUGUGUUGUUUUGUACUUUUGAAGGAUUUGUCUCUUUGAUACAUUCUCCGUUUUCAUUCUUUAUUCUAAGUUAAAAACAAAUAUACGGGGCUACCUCUUUACUUACUUAAAAGAGUUAUCUUUUAAUGCUUUCAUUAUAAUCAUGUUAUGUAGAGUUAAUGCUGAGGCACUUUCUAGUUAAAAAGGGGCGUUAGAAGUAUAUUUGGCAAGCUAAUACGUAUUCAUUUUACAUGUAGUUGACAAAAUACCAAAGACACUAUCAAGUUGAACAUAUAAAAUAAAUCAGAAACAAUAGCCAACUAUUAUGCAAUGCCUUUAUAUAAUCAUUUCAAUAACAGCGUGGCUCGACAACAACAAUACUUACACCAGAAUGUCGUUAAAUGUAGUUUGAUACCCUGUAUUUAUCAUGCUUUCCUAUGAAUUGAGAUAAAAUUGCUUGAAGACCCCUCCUGAAUUAUAGAAACCUAUCAUUUUACAUAAAAAAUAUAUCUUGGGGUGUAAAUCUGAUACACUUACUAGUGCUAGCGCCCUCGUGGUGUAUCUAAUACGUAUGUUGGUAAUACUACUGAAUCAUGACAUUACCCUUUAACUUGUUUUUCAUCGGCUAUCGAUAAUACUGAUGUUAAUACGCUUACUCAGUCUGUCAGAGUCGUUCGGAACUUCGAAUGGGAAUUUGAAUAGAAUAAAAAAAGUAAAGUACAUGCAGGUGCGCGAGAAGACAAAAAGGAAAGUUUAAGUAUUUAACAUUUAAAUCAACCCACAAGGUUUAGUCCUCUACUUGUUAUUCGCAUUAUUUCAUUUACGCGUUUAGAACCUUUGGUGAACCUUCAGUUUAAAUAGACAAUAAUAGUGCAUGGACUUGACGUAUCAACGAUAUAAGGAUGAGGCUUAAAAACGGGGAAAUGCUAUGCUGUGCCAAACUAUUUCCCCCGUUUCGGGCCGAAUCCUUAUAUCGGCUAUUAUUGUCUUUAUACUGCAAUCUAAAAAACAUUUUCAAUUGUUGUUUAAUGCGUUAAGGUUAUUUAUUUGAUUUGAAUAUUUGGGGAAAUCCCCUUUAAAAAGGCCUCAUAUCAUGCUCACGGAGAAAUUUUCAACACAAUGAAAUGUACA
rnacentral:lncRNA from 1 species